GGUUGGAGUUGCUCUAGGUGCUGAGUGUAGCGACCUGCUGACCGCGCGCGCAGCGACACCUACUGGUUAACGCAUGCGCUGUGAGCACCGGAGAGCGCCAGCGGCCAGCAAACUCUGAACCUUCAAUAUCUUUCACAACGUUCGCAAAAUGUAUACAUGCAGGUCAUGAUGAAUCCGGAGUCUAUCCUGGGAACACUGGGCAUGAGGUGGGAAUACAUCAAGGAUACGCUACCAGUCCAGUACAGGUCACACAACAUGAACACACAAUAACGUAAAAUAACAGCAAAAUGCUGCAGCAAAUGCUCAGAUACACUGUUCUUUAUCAUAUCCUCUUUAUCGAGGCCUCUGCCAAACUUUAAAUCCAACUCGUCCAAACACUAUUUAAAGAAAUCUCCGUUAAGACCAGUGUUGAACGAUGAACUGUCAGCACUUAUACACCUCCAGAUCGAUUAUGUAAGCAGUGAUUUCAUUUGAAUUAACAGAGAAUACACAAAGCAGCUUCCUUAUAACCUGCUGGAAAACCCCAGGUGGACACAGAGUGACAUUUAACAAUGAUGAAGAUAUUACUUCAGCAAGUUGCCAAUAUAUUUUUAUAUAUAUUUAAAUAAAUAAUCAAGGAAUUGAGAAAACAGAUCACUUGAGAGGAAACGUAACGCAAAAAUGCCAAUUGGUAUAAAAAUAGUAGCCAAAAAGGAUUUGCAAAGGGCAUUUUUUCUCAAUUCCUUGUAUUUUGUUUGCGAUAGCUAAUUAUUUUUGCACCUUGCUGAAGUUAAAUCUAUGCAAUAUUCACUUUUUUGUGACUAUUAAAGUCCACGAUUUGACUCCAUAGCCACACAGCUUCUCACAGCUUCAGGGUUUGAUCCUGAGCUCAGGUUUCUCUCUGAAUUGAGUUUUGCAUGUUCUCUGCGUUUCCUCCGGGUUCUACAGUUUUUUUCUCACUUCUCAGAAACAUGCUAGUCUAAGUUGCGCUAGGUGUGUGUGUGUGUGUGUGUGUGAGUGUGUGUGUGUGUGUGUGCGUGCAUGGUAUCCAGGGUGUAUUCCUGCCUCACACACAGUGGUUCUGGGAUAGGCUGUAGAUCCACCAUUAUCCAUUAUCCUUGAUCAGGAUGAAGCAGUUACUGAAGAUGAAAGAACAAAUGAAGAAUUAAAUGGUGCAGGGAAUCUGCCAGACACAACAACAAGAACAACUAUUUGUAUGUUUUCUGUUAGUUUUCCCUGAGGUCCACAGGGUCCACAGUAUUUCAUUUCAAUGCACACUGGGAAUGACUAAUAACAUUCCAAUUAAGUUAUUCUUACUCCAUAAGGACCUGGCAGAUGGCCUGAAGUCGAUGCAGAGGAGUUUGGGAACUGGGGUGAAGAGGGUAAGAUUUAACCAGAGCAUCCCCUUUAUGGCAGAAUGAUGAGCACUCUCUCUAUUUGUGGUCUGCUCACAUGCACGAACAUUGACCCAUUGCUUCCAGACUCACUCCGUUUGAAUCAGUAUCACACCAAGAAUUUUGCAGUAGGACUGACAUUUACAUCCACCCUGUCCUAAUUCACUCUAAUGAGAUGUACUGAGACAGCUUUAAUGCACGGGCAUGCACCAGGAGGAUGAUUUGCAUCCUCUUAUUCUUUUCUGAGAGAACCCUGGCCGACAUGCGGCUCCAUCCUGCGCUGGAAGUGUGUGCCGCUUAGUGGAGAUGAAAGCUAAAUUGAAGGACUUUCGUGAUUGAUAGUGAUGAUAUGAGUGCGGGCUUUAAUUGGGCACGUUGGGAUUGGCGAAAAGGCACGUGCACCACUCUCUGGCCAACUGCUUCUCUGUGGAACCCAAUGGCCCAGUGGUGCGACUCGUUCAAAAUACCUUCACAGGCAUGUGUCUAUUGUUACCAGAUGUCACUCUGAAACGUGGCCUUUUUUUGUUUCAGAGUGUUUAAGAGUGUGUUGUGUACCACGUCUCCAUGCCUCCUGUGUGUGUCCUAUGUUCUCGGCUGGUUCCCUUCUUUCCCAAUGCCAGGUGCUGCAGCAGCAGAGCUAGUGGUUAUGGGCUCUGUCUGUGUGUGCAUGGCGGACUCGCCAGAUGAUAAUCUGCAGGGCACAUGGCUGUACACUGAGCAAUCUCCACCGCCUUCCCUCUCCUCAUUAGCCCUACACAGACCAGCCAUACGCUCCACUUAAAAUACACACACACACGCACACCGCAAAAGGGAAGAGUGGCCUUUGUUUUCUGUGUCCUACAUACAACCCUUGUUGAACCUCCUCCUUUUCUCUCCUCUCCACCAUGUAAAUCUCUUUUCUGGCUUAAUUCUCGCUGAAAACCAUAUGGUGUGUGACAUCAUGAGGCCAGGAAGUAGAGAGCGAGAAAGACAGACCAAAUGAGAGCAAGGGAAAGAGAACGAUUGCACCACCAGGUCUCUGUUCAGUGAUGUCAGCAGAGAGGCAUGCUCAGAGGCCUGUUGGGGGGUGAGGGGAGCAGGUUGGAAGUGUUUUCACUUUUCUAGAUUUCACCCCCACCUGUAUAAUCAGAGUACAGCAGGAAAAGUAGCAGGGGUGCUUGUGGACUCAGUGAGAACCGCUUUGCAUUCUGGGGUUGUCCCUCUACUGGCAUGAGGAAUGUUUGUGCUCACUCAUCAUACACACGUAUUCUCGCUUUCACGCCAUAUCCUGUUGGCUCUCUUGGCAGUGAAGUUAAGUUUGGCAUAUGGAUUGCAUGGAUUUUUUUUUUUUUGCCACAUUAUGGAAAAGUAAACAUUAACAUCACUGAAAACAGAACUUUCUGAGAGUUUUGAAUGCUACCGAUGAAAGCCUACAUGUACAUCAUGAAUGCAUAUAGGAUAGAUUCGACCCUAUUUGAGCUCUUGAUGAGUGCAAUGCGUGCAGUAUAGUAAUGCAUGGAGACCUGGAAGAGAAGCAGACUUGACAUCUGGGAUAUACGUUAAAGGCUCACAAUGCGAAAAACCGUUUGCACCGAGUUGCCUUAAUGAGACAAAAGUGCACAUUCUACAUCUGUUUGUAUUGAACCAUGAGAUUUUCCAUGUUUAUACGCUAUGAUAGACAGAAUCUAGGAUUUCUCCUCCUACUCCUCAGUGGACUUCACGUCUGUUUCCGCUGCCCUCUCUUUCUCCCCCACUCCCCACUCUGUCUUGCUCCAUCUCAGCUCCAUCCAACUGCUCUGCUCUGUUUAUCUCUAUCUCUCUCAUCCUCUUAGUCUCUCUCACUGACGAGUCGCAAUCUGCGCACCAGGCCUUUUUGUCUGACAGCCUCCCUCCCCUCCUGCAUUCGCUCGCUGGGUGAACUCUUCAGCUUUGUUGGGAGGUCCUGGUCUCCAUACCACCACCACCACUAUCCCCCUUCCUGCCAGCUCUCUAUCAGCACGUACACACACACACAUACACACACACACACACACACACUACCCCUCUCCUCUCCUCUGAUUAAUGGCAGAGCUGGGGAGUAUGCCAGGCCAGUUCCUUGCUUAGUGAAGUGAAGGGAGAGGAAGGGAAGGCAAGGCGAGGCAGGGUUGCUGCAGCUGUGGUUUUGGAGUCUGUCUCUCGGCCCCUGCUCUGCCCCCUUUCUCUCUCCAUCUCCUCUCUGGCUCCUCCAGGGACACACGCUUUGGCCAGGCCCCAGGAACCAAGAACCAGGGAGUCAGGACUAGGGGGACAAAAAAAGGGGAAACAAGAAAGCAAGGCUGUGAUGUAUAGCGGGGGCGACUGCACGGACGAACUGAGGGUGAAUUUAAGGAAAACGGCAGGAUGUUCGAGUUUUUUUGGCAGGAAUUAAAGAUACCUCCAAAAAGUUCCGGGGACAGCAGGAAUGCCAGGAAAGUCUGAAAGAAUCCUAGGUUACACUUACAUUGACAUGAUAUGUGAUGAGCUGAUGAUAGCAGAUGGCACAUUCUUCAUCAGUUAUUUAUAGAGUAUAUCCUAAUCCCUUAAAUUUGGAGGAAAUAACUUAUGAGGUCAGAGGAAACCCUCGAGGAGUAUUGUGUCCUUAUUCGGGAUAUAAAUGUAAGUACACUCAAAUCUGCUUUAGAUACAGUAUAUGGAGGUGUUAUACCAUGUGGAUUUCAGUGUUCGGUGCAGUUUUGAUGUACUCUCUCUCUUUUAAUGUUUUAUGAGCUGUAGGGCUGCGGUGUGCUGACCUCGCUCUCACCCCAGUGCCACCCAGCCAGUGCGGGACUCAGGCGCGAUUGGCCCCUGCCAAAACUCCACAGCGGCACAUCUGCUAUCCAUAAACGCCAGCCACUCACUUCAUCUCCUUCGCCCACCCCCUACCUCCUCCACUUCUCCUGUUGGUUUAUUUCUGCUUUGCCAUCUGAGCAGGCCAUGUACUGUUCUCCUGCCAUCUUGGGUUUUUUUUCUUCCUCUUUUUUCGACUCUGCCCAAGCAAGCAGUGGUUGUUCUCUUAUUCCUGUCCUUCGCAACCCCAUGCUCCAUCUCUCCCUCUUUAUCUUGUUCCAACGGAAAAAUUUCUCACCCAUUAUAUCCUAAACUGGAAGCCAGCUGAGUGUGGUGGCUGUGAAUUAGGAGCCGCAGGACGAUCCAGCUCCAAGCCACCAGCCUUAACCCUUUCUGCUCUUCCCACGGCACAGUACUAUCACUGUCUGCAUGAGAUAUCCUAAUUAUAUCGCUCCAGUUUGGCUUUGUUGUGAGACAUGCAUUACUUUCACUCAACACGCAGUAAACCGAACAUUUCCUUCUGCAAAAGGCAGGGAUGUUUUUGGGUGAUCUGUGUGGUUCUAGAGGAAAGCUCCCUAUCCACAUUCCAUUCAUGUGUUGCUUAAAGUUAAGGACAAUCUCCAGUGUGGGAGGAUUAGAUUUCCUCUCUAGAUCAUAAGCAUUUGGCCAGGCGCACCACACCCAUUAGCUUUAAAAAAAAAAAAAAAAAAGAUGUGUUUAACACGUCCUCACUGAAUACCCUGUGUGCACUACGGCCUAAAAAAUGAACAAAGAAAAUAAAUUGAGUGCCUCGACUUAACCGUCCAGAGCUUCAAGUGCACCCCUAGGUAAUAAAGAAGUAUUACCCUUCUGCAAUUGUUUUAUCAUUAUUUUGACGUUUUUUCCACUGUAAUCAAAUUCACAGUGUGCAAAAAAAAAUAUCGCAUACUGAACUUUUGCUCCUUUAUAUCCUGGAUCACUCUGUCCUUUCCAAGCCCAAGUAUUCACCUUUUCUUUUCCCAGACAUAUUGGCAUGAAUCUAUGGUGGGGUCCCAGCAGAACCCUGGGAUGAAUCAUGUAGCUGUAAGCAUGCAAGAACACUGUCUUAUGAUAAAUUUUACAAACCAUAAAUCAUUGUUUCUUAGAAAAAAAAAAGGGGGGGGGGGGUCUGAGCAAGGGAGAGAAAGUGUGUGCAGAAAAACAUUUGGGAAUCCUGAGAGAAAACAAAAGCAGGGUAACAUUUAGUUGUGUGUGUGUGUGUGUGUGAAUGGUGGUGAAAAUGAGGCUUCAGGUCAGAGGGACCACUGGGGAGUGGGAGUGGUGGAGGAGGCAGAGGAAUAGAGGAUUGUGGAAACACAGCCAGUGCCUUCGGACUGAAGCCAUGUUCUUACACCAGAAAGUCCAAUAGAAGUCUGCUGAGCUUUGUGUAUACAUACACACCACUGUCUCCUCUAAUUUAUCUAAGCGUCAGUGGUCAAGUGAGGAUAAGGACCAUUAAUUUUGGUUCGAAUUGAAGAUGAGGUCAUGAUGGCAUCAUUUAAAACUUGUCCAUGGAUGUUAUGGUCAACUCAGAAGACAUUAUUAGUUGAGAUUUCAGCAGGAAUUCUGCUCAAGAUCCAGAGUAUUCCUUGUUAAACUGGCAAUAAAUGCUCUGCAAAUUAAAACUGUUGGACACAAUGGCACAUCAGGUAACGUUGCUGCCUCAGUUCCAGGUGCUCUGGUUCAAUCCUGAAAUUGGGUUAUUGUCUGUGUGGAGUUUCAUAUGUUCUCCGCAUGUGUUUCCUCUCGGUUCUACAGAUUAUAUAAAAUGGUGUAGUGAUUUCAGAAUACUAUUAGACCUCAGGAAGAAAUAAGUUCUCAAACGUCAAUCCAUCAAACACUCUGACAGCCAAGCGCCUUCAUUUUAAUACACACAUGCCAUCUAGUGGCCAUAGCAAGCAAUGCUUAAAUACAGAUUUGUCAUAAAGACAAAUGUAAUAUAUUUCAUUCAUUUGUUUAUGCUGUUAGAACUGUAUACAGUGUGAUAGAAGCCAAUCGUGGGAAAGUCAUGUCCACUGCUUCUGCCAGUCCAUAAUCAUCUUUCCUCUCUCUACUCCAUGUCAACAUCAUGGAGAUCCUCCGGCUCCUCUUUCUUCACCCAGGGCACAGGAUGAGGCACAUAGGGGUCAUAUGUCCAGCGAGGAUACACUCUCUUAUACAGGUUCAUCAACACUGUGUCCUGAGAACGCAGCUGACUGUCAAACACACAUUUCAUGUGACCAUGUGUACCUGCGUAAAAAGAGGAACAGAGAAAAAUACACUUUAGUUUCAAUCUCUAACCACAAACAUCAAGCCGUUUUCGUGCGAGAUGUAACUCCACGUGACUCAAUUGAUGGCUGACUGAAACUCAAGUUUAGUACAACGAUGAAGAAUUGUGCUUUUCUCUUUUCUUCUCACCCAAAGCCUCCUUGAUGUGUCCUCUCCGUCCCCACUUCGUACGCAACUCCACUGGCUUAAACCACAAAAUAUCAUCUGCAAGGAAAGUCACAAAUGAGAUAAAGUUUAGUUUUGGUAACACAAAACUGCCCCCUACUGCUUAUGAACUGUUCCUGAGCUGCUUGUAUAAUUUCACAUAAGCAGUGAUCCUCCUCCUCACCCCUGUUGAAGAACAUGUAGCGGACAACGGCAGAACGGCGGUUAAUCUUGAAGGGGUGUCCACUCAGCACAAUCCUCUUCAGCACUACACGCUGAGGG